CAGCUCUGGAUAGACCACGCGAGGUUCUGCAGGUGUCCCACCCUUCUCUUGAGGCAAGGAUGCUCCAGAAGUGACGGAAUAAGGAGAAUGGUUGAGAAAGAAGGGGAUGCAAAGGGAAAUUCAACAAAGCACUCCAGGACACGCUCUACAGCAAGAUGCCGCGACUGCAUGUGUUUGGUAUGGUCAGAGGCUGAAAGCUGGUCAGUGGGUGACCUGCGCGGGAUGCCUGGGUGACAUCUGACCUCUGACUGGGCGUGCGGAUUGACCCUGGAGGACAAGGUCCGACAAUGCGAGGCACGUGCCGUGGCCUAAUCUCCAUGUUUUAUGACGUUGUCACAAAGGAGGAGCUUUCUGAUGUGGAUGGUACUGCAUCAGGAACUGAUUGGCUGAUGCUUCACUGCCAACAGUACCUGAUGCAUUGCCUUCAGCAUCGAAAGAAACGUCGCAUGACUCCAGCUGCUUUUGAUCAAACUUACUCACAGAUUUUCUACAGACAGUAACAAACUUUGAUGGUAUUCUUUGUGUUUCAUGUUUGAAAAUAAAUAUUUGUGCAUGCAUACAUUAGUCAAACCUCUGACCUCUGAUGUCUGGCUGAAAUGGUUAUGAACAUUUUCCAACUUAUAGGAAUGAUAUAUUUAUGUCUGUGUUUGUGUUCUCUGGUGUAUAAUAUUUUCCCUCCUCAAGUCUAAACCACUACUUUUCUGUUAGCUUGUCACAUAAAAUUUCAAUAAAGUGCAUUAAAUUUAUUGUUUAAACAUGGAAAUGUCAUAACCUUUGUGUCACACCAACCUGAAUAUAAAUAUAUCUCAUUACUAUCUAAGGAAUCAUGUUCCUCUCCUGUUCGGAUUAGACACCUGGAUGCUUUUAGGCCACACCUCAGUACUCAAUGACUCACUGUACAUUUAGAUUGACCUUUAAUAAUUUGAUUAACUGAUUUGAAUAACUGUAAGUUGCAUGAGGAGAGUUUCUCACACUCAAGUAUGUAUAAACACCCAUGUCGGGGCUAAUUUCUGUCUACAAUAGUUCUGGAGCGAAUAUGAGAAGGAGGAAGGUUCUCUCAUCUACUUAUCAGUGUUGGAUCAUUUUUGCCUUGAUAUGCAUUUGAUUAAUUCUGUGGUUUGUCCCUUUGUUGUAGCAUGUUUAAUCACUUGCCAAGUUAAAUAAAUGUUCAUCAAAAGUAAAA